GACGACGCCCUUGCGGUGGAGCAGGUGCGGCCUUGGGACGGCCACCUUGGGCCGGACCACGCGCAGGCUGGCGGCGGCCACGUCGGGGCGGAGCAGGCACGGCCGCAGGGGUCCACGCGCGGCCAGUGCACCGCCGCGGCUGCCAGGACGAGGAGGAGGCUGCCCCGCUGCUUUCUCCCGAUGGCAGAGACGAUGCUGCACGGACGACCUGCUGUUGCUGCUCACUGACGCCCGGCCUUCGCCUCAGCUCUCCGGUCAAGUGCAUGACGCUGUACGAGCAGAUGUACAGGUUGGUCUGAAGACGACGAUGAGCGGCGAUUGGUUCAAGUAGAGCACAUUCUGGAUGGGCAGAUCGACGACUCUAAGGGUAGCAUGAUGCCAUCAACCUCGACUAAAUCGGUGUGCAGGCUGCAGUUGUGCCGCUGGAGUUGCAGGCGACAGCUGCAAUACAUACUUUCCGUAUGCUGUAGUUCACGGUCUGGGUCGGAUGGCUGCCUUCUGACUGGGCUAUAAUUGUCCCUAGCUUGCAAAAUAAAUCAGCCCAUAAACGAAGCUUGAAACCUGCUACAGAGUUUGCCGUCUCUUGAUUUGCUCUGAAGUUGUUAGUCGAAGGCUCUAAUUGAAUAUUUGAUGCAAUUAUUUCUUGCCGUAGAUGAGAGGUCAGUGGUCUAAUGUCAGCUAAUAUCACUUCCAUCUUGGUUAAUUGGUCACAGAAGUUUCAUGGGCCUAAAUGCCCAGUUCAUAUACUCUUUGUUCCUGGUAGUUAGGCU